GACAGAGGGUGCGAACGUUUGUUCGGAAUUACUGGGCGUAAAGGGCGCGUAGGCGGCCUGCUAAGUCGAACGUGAAAUCCCCGAGCUCAACUCGGGAACUGCGUCCGAUACUGGCAGGCUUGAAUCCGGGAGAGGGAUGCGGAAUUCCAGGUGUAGCGGUGAAAUGCGUAGAUAUCUGGAGGAACACCGGUGGCGAAGGCGGCAUCCUGGACCGGCAUUGACGCUGAGGCGCGAAAGCCAGGGGAGCAAACGGG
rnacentral:rRNA from 1 species